UGAGGAAUAUUGGUCAAUGGGCGAGAGCCUGAACCAGCCAAAUCGCGUGAAGGAAGACUGCCUUAUGGGUUGUAAACUUCUUUUAUACAGGAAUAAAAAAGGGGACGUGUCCCUUAUUGCAUGUACUGUAUGAAUAAGCAUCGGCUAACUCCGUGCCAGCAGCCGCGGUAAUACGGAGGAUGCGAGCGUUAUCCGGAUUUAUUGGGUUUAAAGGGUGCGCAGGCGGGCUUUUAAGUCAGCGGUGAAAUCUCGGGGCUUAACUCCGAAACUGCCGUUGAAACUGGGAGUCUUGAGUAUGGAUGAAGUAGGCGGAAUUCGUUGUGUAGCGGUGACAUGCUUAGAUAUAACGAGGAACUCCGAUUGCGUAGGCAGCUUACUAAGCCAUAACUGACGCUCAAGCACGAAAGCGUGGGGAUCAAACAGGAUUAGAUACCCCUGGUAGUCCACGCCGUAAACGAUGAUUACUAGUUGUAUGCGAUAUACCGUAUGUGACUAAGCGAAAGCGAUAAGUAAUCCACCUGGGGAGUACGCCGGCAACGGUG
rnacentral:rRNA from 1 species